rnacentral:rRNA from 1 species
CGGGGGGGGAGCAAGCGUUGUCGGAUUUACUGGGCGUAAAGGGCGCGUAGGCGGCGCAACAAGUCACUUGUGAAAUCUCCGGGCUUAACCCGGAGCGGCCAAGUGAUACUGUCGUGCUAGAGUGCGGAAGGGGCUACUGGAAUUCUCGGUGUAGCGGUGAAAUGCGUAGAUAUCGAGAGGAACACCUGCGGCGAAGGCGGGUAGCUGGGCCGACACUGACGCUGAUGCGCGAAAGCCGAGGGGAGCGGAACGGGAUUAGACUACCCCGGUAGUCCUGGACCUUAAACGAUGGAUACUUGGUGUCCGAGGUUACAUAGUCCGUCGGGUGCCGGCGCUAACGCAUUAAGUACUCCCGCCUGGGGAGUACGGUCGCAAGACUG